UUCACAGUUUCACUUUCAAUCAAAGCAAUAACAAAAGGGUCUGCACAUGUUCAACAAGGUGGCGGAUUCCUGGAUCAUAUUGUUAAGUAUCAGUACUGAAAUAAUCUCUGGAACAGAGAUUAAGAUAGAUACCUAGAAUAGAUUGGAUGAAAAGAGAAACAGAUUAGAUGAGAAGAGAAGGAGAGAAUUUCAGAGAAGAGAAAGUAUUUCUGUUAUUGAUUCUUGAAUAGAAUGAACACAGAUAUGAGUUCUCCUUUUAUACAAGAGCAGUGUAACUGCCUCUAAGAAAUUGUGUUAUCUAAACUACUUCAGUAUCUUUUCACCAUUUCUAACUACAUUUCGCUCCAAAACACUUACCACUCGACUAAGCUACUGCCUAUUACUAUUUCUUUUCUUCUUCCUAUAGUAUGUAACACGUAUAUCCUCAGCACCUUAGAGGCA
rnacentral:misc_RNA from 1 species